AGGUGGGGUCCCUUGAUUGUUUCAAGCGUGGGUUGGACAUGUAUAUGAGUGGGAUUGGGUGGUUAUAAAUAGGAGCUGCCUCGUAUGGGCCAAUAAAGAAUUCGAACAUCAGAAUAAUUAAAUUAUAACGUAACGUUAAAUUAUAACGCCAUCAGCGCUAGUAGAUAAAAGAGGUAGAACUCGCUUCCCCGUUGUCACUGAUAGGUUUGUACACAUUGUUGUUGUUGUUAAAGAUUCGCUACCUAGAACAAAAAGUUCCAAGUAGCACGGGCUAUGGUGAGCCCGUAGUACCGGUUUGUACACUUUCAGCGUCGGCUAUGACAGCUGUUGACGUUUGUGACACUUGGGGUGUCGGACAUGACAGCUGCUCGUGUUCGUGACAUAAGCAGCGUUACAUCCUGGCAGCUGCUGCUGUUCGUGACACUAGGAACAUCAUGACAUGACAGCUGUGGCUGUUCGUGACACGAAAUGACAGCUACUGGUACUCAUGACCAUCAUAUCAUCAGCUCUGACAUCCGCUAACAUUCGCGACACUGCGCGCUGAAGGUGACAUUGUUUUUCUCCCGCUUACGAUAGUUGCUGACAUUCGUGCCACUGAUACCGGCAGUCGUGACACCAUUUAGAUUAAGACAUCUCUCAGGUGUCUCGUCAUUUCCACGUUUUGUCCACUACUCGUCAGCGUUGUGUCCGACGUACUUGGAAGGUCCAUCGCGUCAUUCACGUAAAUAUCACACAGUCACACACCGUCUCUGAGAACUGGCUAUAUAGCGAGGAGCAGAAUUCCAUCUGGGUUUAUUUUCCAAAUGAUUCAAUUUGCUGUUGUUGCUGUAUGGGAAAGUCCUGGCCCGGGAGGAUUGACUGUUCGCGCUGGCAUCACCCGACAGCAAUUGGGUGGUACCUGCUUGUUAACAGCAGAUUAAGAUUAUCAGCAGAUUAAGUGUUGGGCGGAUGUGUUUGUUUACAAGUCAAAUGGACAACAACAACAAAGGGACAACGCUGGCUUGACAUUACCUCUGUCUGUGACGCCCAUGGUCUGUGGCCCCGUGUGUGACGCCCAUGGUCUGUGGCCUGGUGUGUGACGCCCAUGGCCAGUGGCCCCGUGUGUGACGCCCAUGGUCUGUGGCCCCGUGUGUGACGCCCAUGGUCUGUGGCCCCGUGUGUGACGCCCAUGGUCUGUGGCCCUGUGUGUGACGCCCAUGGCCCGUGACCCUGGCUUCCCUUUUACUGAACGCAACAUGCAACUCUUCGAAGGUCUCGCCUAGAAGCCUCAUGGACAUUAAUGUGUUUCCCAGUGUCGGGGACAGGAAGCCCUCUGGUUUGGCUCAUCGAGGUCCCCCCCUUAGUCACCGACUGUCCAUCCCCGAGGACGCAACCUGCAACAGUUGCUUAACUCCUGGGUACUUAUUUACUGCUAUUUAAAGAGAAGCAUCAGGUGCAAGGAAAUAUGCCCAAACGUCUUGCCAUACCCAAGAAUUAAAUCCGGGACUACUCCAAUAUGAGCCGGCUUCGGUGCUACAAAAUAUAUAUUUAAAGAAAUUUUAGUCACAUGUUAUAAGGAUAUUUUUUUCACUCAGAGGGAUGAUAUAUCUUAGCUAUAACUUAUCAAAUAUGGCAGAAUACAGAACAAAAAAUUAUAUAAAAAGCUCCAGACGCAUUCAUCAAUUUACUGUGUAAUAAAAAUUGGUUUGUUCUCAUAUAUUUAUUAUUAUUGUUCAUCAAAAUUCUAUAUAUUGUUAGGCGUAGGCUAGGUUAUGUUAGGUGUUUCUGUUCUGUUGGCUAUUAUUUGUAUUUGAAGUACGUGGGUGAAGCAAUAUGGUAACCCCAAGUCUCAAUCCCCUGAAGACUUGUACCCAAGAUUGACUAUGUAAUACAUCUGUUACACAAUGUAUUGUACCUAUACAAUAUGUAAUACAUCUGUUAUACAAUGCAUCUUUCUAUAACCUGAGCUUGUAAAAGCAUCUUAAUCA